rnacentral:lncRNA from 1 species
UUCCAUCGGUAAACCUUCAAGUGACCUUCCGGUAACUCUCUCCACGGCUUGGUUCCUAAUAUUUGCUGCACGUCGGCAAUCUCCAAGCUUGGAUUCAAGCGAGUAAGAUGGAAUUGAUCCUGACACCACUGCACUGACAACCUCCUCGUCUUCCAUGGACAUAACUUUUUGGUCGGAGAUUUUGGGUGGAGGUAACGUAGGUAGCUUCUUCGGCAAGACUCCUUGAGUGGUUUUUGCAGCAAUGUCUUCUUCUUCUUCAUCGUAAUGAAGGAUGAAGGCAAUGCCGAAGAAAGUGAUAAGGUAGACAAAGGAAGCGAUGAGGGAAACAAGAGCGAGAAUCUCAGAGAUUGUGAGGACGUGGAGAGGUGUAGAGGUUCGGAUCUUUUCACGCCACCUGUUGAGAAGAAAGUAGGCGACGGAGAAGAAGAGACCAAAGAAAACAACAUUUGUUAAGUACAGUAUUGACUGUGAAUCCUCCUGCUUCUUUUGGUUCUUCUUCUCAUUUUUGCUUAUUUUCUGCUGAACGCCCAUUUCUCUGAUUUGAAAAAGAAAAGAAAGAAAGGAGUUCAGUUCAGUUUAGGGGAUGAUUGAUGAUGGGUAAUACUAAUUGCUUGAAAAUGAUUUUCAAUGUUAUUAUUAUUUAUAGACAAAUUAAGAGUACUCAGAGAGUGAGUGAGGAAUUAGGUAUAUGCAAUAAUGUUAUUUUUUUUGUUAACAGAAGUUUCGUAGCUAGAUCGUAAUGAACUCGUGCACAACCAGAAGGAAUAUUGUAAUGUGUAGAUAAUAAACUAGCUAGAAGCCUUGUGUUGACUAAACUAAAUUAUUUCCCUGCAGAAACUAAUUAAACUAUACUAUAUAUUUUUGUUGUUCACUGAAACUAAUUAGUUUAAUAUAUCACUUGCGCUGCAAAAAAAAAAACGUGUUUAUGAUAUAAAAUUAAGACAAUUAAAAAAGAGAUAGAGAAUAUGAAAGUCUAUUAAUGUAUCAUUCUCUUUCUUUUAACGUGUGUUUUUACACCAAUUAAUAUAUGAGUUCAAUUUAUAGUAUCCAAUUAUAGGUCUUAACUUUGUAGGAUGCUCUCAAAUAGGUCUAUGAGUUUAUGAAUAUUUUAAAUAGGUCUCUGACUUAAUCGAAAUUUAUUCUUAUUGAAAAGUAUAGGGAUCAAACUGAUAGUAAGUUGUUUAAAAUAUAAGGACUUAGUUGAUAGUUUAAUAGAGCCGGUGAGCUUUCUAUAAUAUUCAUAAUCUCAUAGGCUUAUUUAAUAGCGACGUAAUACAAACUAAAAGACUAAUUUGAUUGUGUAAGCAAACAUGUGUUGAUAUUGUGUUUUUCUUUCCAAUUUGUACAACUCAUUAUAUCCAUUUUAAAAAGUCAACAAUAAUUCAAUCGAAUUAUAACAUAAUUAGACUUGUGCUGAAGUUGUUUGGAAUAAGGUUAAGUUCACAGCAAAAGUAGGUUAAUAAUUCAAUCACGAGUAUGAUCAAAUGAAAUGAACUGAUUCUGAAUGCACGAACAAUGAUCAAAAUGGUGCGGAUACAAAGGUAGGACUUGAGGUUUAAAACUGCUUUACCCAGUACGAAUCAAAACAACUGCUGAUAAAAUGCCAAAACACAAAAACGAGGAUACAUAAAAACAUCGGAAUCUAAGUUCCUUCUCUAGGUAUCUACAUUGUCGGACUUCAAGUGAGCCGAACGCUGAAUCCCAACCAUGGUUCUCUCUAGGCUCUAAAGCAUAUCUUCUAUGUACUCACCCAUGUAAGUGAGUUAUAAACAAUGUUUAGUUCACAUUUUUGGUAGGAAAGAUAUAAAUUGAUGUACUACUUGAUUCAUAUUUAAUAAUAACUUAUUUAAAAAAUUUUUUUUUUUUUUUUGUUACAACUUAUUUAAAAUAUAUGAUUUAUUAAAUUUAAGUAUUUGUAUUAUGAGGGAAUCUUCUUUUUUUUUUCCGAAAAGUUUUCUUCGAUUGCUUGGGUCCUUCUUGAGGCGUUAUUAGGCACCAAAUGUGUACAUCUUCCCCAGUUGAGAUUCGAACUUGGCGAAGUUAAUUAAAGUCUACACAUAAUUCUUUUCAGGGGCGGAUCUGCUUAAGGCAGGGUGUGGCAAUAGCCACACCAGCCAGCCCAAUUUGUUUUAAAAAAUUAUAUUUCUUCAUAAGAAACACACUCAGCCCAACCCAAUACUACCAACAGCCUACCUUUUCCUUACCAAUACCAAAACACACACCAAACAUAUUUAUUUCUUUCUUCCAAAUUUCCUCUAAGAUUUCUCUCACCCUUCUUUCCUCUCCUUAUGACCUCACCCUCACCUCUCGUCUCAACCAAGUUUUAACAUUUUCGUCUCUUGACGCACCGCCUCACUCUUUCUUUGUUAUUAACAUUUAGAUUGAAAUUGAAAUUGAAUGGUUUCUAAUCUCAUUUAUUCGAAAUUGAAUGGUUUAUGAUGUCUCUUAGUUAUUGGGCAAAAAAAUUAGCCUCACUGAUUUUUUAUGUCCAGAUCCGCCCCUGAUUCUUGUGGGUGCGAAUGAAUCAAUUUAUUAGUUAUGAAAAAUAAUUUGGAAAUAUGAUGAACUUUUACUUUCCUUUCAAAAUAAAAUGAUGAACUUUUUCUACCUUUUUUUUUUUGUUGAGAAUAUUGUUGUACUUUUACUUGUAGAAUAAUUUUAACCAGUUUAUUUAUUUCACUUGAUAUCACAUUUAAUUUCAAUGCCCCAUUAAAAUAUAUGUUUGCCAUUUUAAUUUUACGAAACAUAACUUAGCACGUACUCCCUCAAGUCUUUUUUAUUCAUCGUUUUUGUCGGUAUUUUUUUUUUCUCUUACUUAUUUAUCUUUUUCAAAGUUAAUGCAAUAUUAGUUAUUAUUUUAUCAAUAAUACCCUUUAGUAUUUAUUGAAAUAUGGAAAUAAGUAAAAUGAGAUAAUAGAUACUCAAGAGUGAUAUUGAAAAAAUAUAAAUAAUUCUAUCAGAAAUAAUAAAAUAUAUUGUCUUUUUUCUUCUUCUUUUCUUCUUAAUUUGGAACAAAAAUUUAUUGAUCUUCUUGUUUGUGUAAAUAAACCUAAAAUGAAGUUGAAUUGCUUGGAUUCAUUAUCGCUUUGGAUUGAGGGAGAUUCUUCUAGCGCGCUUCUUGCGUUAAAAAAAUCAGAAUUGGUUCCUUGUAUUUUGCGUAAUAGAUGGCAUAAUUAUUUCACUUUGGAUCUUCACGUUCUUUCUUCUCAUAUUUUUGGUGGGAUGCUAUGCCUGAUUUUACUAGGGAAGAUAUCUUUAGGGACAAAUAUGGCAUGCCAUAUUAUCAUUUUCCUUAAUUUUGCAUGAUUUUCAUCUUUUCUUUCUCCGUUGUUUUUUAGAGGGUUUUGGUUUGGUCCCCUCCUCUCUUGUACAUAUUUUCCCUUUUUUUCUAAUAAAUUUAUAUGAGUGAGUGGCAGAGGAUGGGGGUUUCUUGGGGGUACCGACCUAGUCGGGAUGUGUAAGCUUCUCUUUGGUGUCUUCCACACUCUUAGAUCAAAACAUAAAAUGACAACAAAAAAUAAACGAAAUAAUUUGUCAACUAUAAACAACAAAGCAACAACAUAAUUAAAAAUAUAAUCAAAAUCUCAUACCAAUACUAUGAUAAUAGCACGACUUUGCUCUUUAGAUGAGAACUGACACAUACUAAAAUACUAAAAAUAUUUUUUCUUUCUAAAAUGAAAAUAAAAGAAUCAAACUAAGUCCUCUAUAAUUUCUUCUGUACAAACUUUGGAAAGAUAUGAUCCCGUCACAUGGUGUUUACAAAAACAAAGUAUAGUUUGCGGGCUAUGUCUUCAUCCUCCUACAUUGAAGUUUCUUUUAUUUUUCUUGAUGAUACAUGCAUGGUUAUUUACCUCACAAUUGUGGUAUUGUCUCAUGAAGCAACUUUGGUGACAUCUUUAUUCGAUCUGUUGUAUUUCAUGUGGCUUUUAACAAGCUGCCCGGCUGCAAUUGCAGACAUGAGUGAGAGCUCUCCUGCAAGGACUGAACCAGCUACUAUAGUUGCCAGUUGCCUGGAAUUUGCUCCUGGAGUCUCUUUACUAGCUCCUUUAACACCAAGUAAAUUUAGACAAGCUGAUUGCGACGCAAGUUGUGUGCCCCCUCCUACUGUGCCCACCUCAAUGGAAGGCAUAGUGACUGAGAUAUGAAGGUCCUUUCCGUCAUUCACGGCUUCCAUCAUGGUCAUACAGUGAGAACUUUCAACAUUCUGAGCAGGAUCUUGUCCUGUAGCCAAGUAAAUUGCAGAAACAAUAUUACUAGCAUGUGCAUUAAAGCCGCCAAGAGCACCAGCCAUGGCUGAACCGGUAAGGUUUUUUAGCAUGUUAAGCUCAACCAAAGACUCCACACUAGUCUUCAGCACUUUCUUCACCACAUCUUCCUUAAUUACAGCCUCACACACCACUGAUUUCCCUCUCCCUUCAAUCCAGUUCACUGCCGCAGCUUUCUUGUCCGAACAAAAAUUUCCAGAUAUACCAAUAACAUCCAUAUCGGGAAAAUCGGUUUGAAGAAAAUCAAGUACGUUUUGUACACCUUUCGAUACCAUGUUCAUCCCCAUUGCAUCACCCGUUGAACAAGUGAACCUAGUGUAUAAAUUCUUUCCAGCCAUAGUAGCUUUAAUACUCUGUAGUCUUGCAAAUCUACUUGACCUAAAUAAAUAUCGCAGAGAAAAUCAAUCACUUAUCCAAAUGAGUAAUUUCAACAAAAUUUAUAGUGAAACAGAAGAAAGUUCAAAAUUGAAAAUUACUUACUUGUUGAAAGUGUGAGAGAGGGAAUCAAAAUUUUGAGGAUCUUCUAAAAAGAAUUUCAACUGAGAAGCUCUUUUGGCGGAGUUGAAUCUUACGACUGGGGCUCGGGUCAUUCCGUCACGGAGGACAACGGCGGAAGCACCACCGGAAACAUAAAUAGCUUUACAGCCUCUAUUGGUGCUUGCAACCAAACAACCUUCGGUUGUUGCCAUGGGCACCGUGUACUCAUUCCCGUCGAGCAACAAAGGACCGGCAACACCCACCGGAAUCUGAACAAACCCUAUGGGCAUCUCGCAACACUGUCCUAAUAUAGAAUCGUAAUCAAAACCUUCCAUCGGUAAACCUUCAAGUGACCUUCCGGUAACUCUCUCCACGGCUUGGUUCCUAAUAUUUGCUGCACGUCGGCAAUCUCCAAGCUUGGAUUCAAGCGAGUAAGAUGGAAUUGAUCCUGACACCACUGCACUGACAACCUCCUCGUCUUCCAUGGACAUAACUUUUUGGUCGGAGAUUUUGGGUGGAGGUAACGUAGGUAGCUUCUUCGGCAAGACUCCUUGAGUGGUUUUUGCAGCAAUGUCUUCUUCUUCUUCAUCGUAAUGAAGGAUGAAGGCAAUGCCGAAGAAAGUGAUAAGGUAGACAAAGGAAGCGAUGAGGGAAACAAGAGCGAGAAUCUCAGAGAUUGUGAGGACGUGGAGAGGUGUAGAGGUUCGGAUCUUUUCACGCCACCUGUUGAGAAGAAAGUAGGCGACGGAGAAGAAGAGACCAAAGAAAACAACAUUUGUUAAGUACAGUAUUGACUGUGAAUCCUCCUGCUUCUUUUGGUUCUUCUUCUCAUUUUUGCUUAUUUUCUGCUGAACGCCCAUUUCUCUGAUUUGAAAAAGAAAAGAAAGAAAGGAGUUCAGUUCAGUUUAGGGGAUGAUUGAUGAUGGGUAAUACUAAUUGCUUGAAAAUGAUUUUCAAUGUUAUUAUUAUUUAUAGACAAAUUAAGAGUACUCAGAGAGUGAGUGAGGAAUUAGGUAUAUGCAAUAAUGUUAUUUUUUUUGUUAACAGAAGUUUCGUAGCUAGAUCGUAAUGAACUCGUGCACAACCAGAAGGAAUAUUGUAAUGUGUAGAUAAUAAACUAGCUAGAAGCCUUGUGUUGACUAAACUAAAUUAUUUCCCUGCAGAAACUAAUUAAACUAUACUAUAUAUUUUUGUUGUUCACUGAAACUAAUUAGUUUAAUAUAUCACUUGCGCUGCAAAAAAAAAAAACGUGUUUAUGAUAUAAAAUUAAGACAAUUAAAAAAGAGAUAGAGAAUAUGAAAGUCUAUUAAUGUAUCAUUCUCUUUCUUUUAACGUGUGUUUUUACACCAAUUAAUAUAUGAGUUCAAUUUAUAGUAUCCAAUUAUAGGUCUUAACUUUGUAGGAUGCUCUCAAAUAGGUCUAUGAGUUUAUGAAUAUUUUAAAUAGGUCUCUGACUUAAUCGAAAUUUAUUCUUAUUGAAAAGUAUAGGGAUCAAACUGAUAGUAAGUUGUUUAAAAUAUAAGGACUUAGUUGAUAGUUUAAUAGAGCCGGUGAGCUUUCUAUAAUAUUCAUAAUCUCAUAGGCUUAUUUAAUAGCGACGUAAUACAAACUAAAAGACUAAUUUGAUUGUGUAAGCAAACAUGUGUUGAUAUUGUGUUUUUCUUUCCAAUUUGUACAACUCAUUAUAUCCAUUUUAAAAAGUCAACAAUAAUUCAAUCGAAUUAUAACAUAAUUAGACUUGUGCUGAAGUUGUUUGGAAUAAGGUUAAGUUCACAGCAAAAGUAGGUUAAUAAUUCAAUCACGAGUAUGAUCAAAUGAAAUGAACUGAUUCUGAAUGCACGAACAAUGAUCAAAAUGGUGCGGAUACAAAGGUAGGACUUGAGGUUUAAAACUGCUUUACCCAGUACGAAUCAAAACAACUGCUGAUAAAAUGCCAAAACACAAAAACGAGGAUACAUAAAAACAUCGGAAUCUAAGUUCCUUCUCUAGGUAUCUACAUUGUCGGACUUCAAGUGAGCCGAACGCUGAAUCCCAACCAUGGUUCUCUCUAGGCUCUAAAGCAUAUCUUCUAUGUACUCACCCAUGUAAGUGAGUUAUAAACAAUGUUUAGUUCACAUUUUUGGUAGGAAAGAUAUAAAUUGAUGUACUACUUGAUUCAUAUUUAAUAAUAACUUAUUUAAAAAAAAAAUUUUUUUUUUUUGUUACAACUUAUUUAAAAUAUAUGAUUUAUUAAAUUUAAGUAUUUGUAUUAUGAGGGAAUCUUCUUUUUUUUUUCCGAAAAGUUUUCUUCGAUUGCUUGGGUCCUUCUUGAGGCGUUAUUAGGCACCAAAUGUGUACAUCUUCCCCAGUUGAGAUUCGAACUUGGCGAAGUUAAUUAAAGUCUACACAUAAUUCUUGUCAGGGGCGGAUCUGCUUAAGGCAGGGUGUGGCAAUAGCCACACCAGCCAGCCCAAUUUGUUUUAAAAAAUUAUAUUUCUUCAUAAGAAACACACUCAGCCCAACCCAAUACUACCAACAGCCUACCUUUUCCUUACCAAUACCAAAACACACACCAAACAUAUUUAUUUCUUUCUUCCAAAUUUCCUCUAAGAUUUCUCUCACCCUUCUUUCCUCUCCUUAUGACCUCACCCUCACCUCUCGUCUCAACCAAGUUUUAACAUUUUCGUCUCUUGACGCACCGCCUCACUCUUUCUUUGUUAUUAACAUUUAGAUUGAAAUUGAAAUUGAAUGGUUUCUAAUCUCAUUUAUUCGAAAUUGAAUGGUUUAUGAUGUCUCUUAGUUAUUGGGCAAAAAAAUUAGCCUCACUGAUUUUUUAUGUCCAGAUCCGCCCCUGAUUCUUGUGGGUGCGAAUGAAUCAAUUUAUUAGUUAUGAAAAAUAAUUUGGAAAUAUGAUGAACUUUUACUUUCCUUUCAAAAUAAAAUGAUGAACUUUUUCUACCUUUUUUUUUUGUUGAGAAUAUUGUUGUACUUUUACUUGUAGAAUAAUUUUAACCAGUUUAUUUAUUUCACUUGAUAUCACAUUUAAUUUCAAUGCCCCAUUAAAAUAUAUGUUUGCCAUUUUAAUUUUACGAAACAUAACUUAGCACGUACUCCCUCAAGUCUUUUUUAUUCAUCGUUUUUGUCGGUAUUUUUUUUUUCUCUUACUUAUUUAUCUUUUUCAAAGUUAAUGCAAUAUUAGUUAUUAUUUUAUCAAUAAUACCCUUUAGUAUUUAUUGAAAUAUGGAAAUAAGUAAAAUGAGAUAAUAGAUACUCAAGAGUGAUAUUGAAAAAAUAUAAAUAAUUCUAUCAGAAAUAAUAAAAUAUAUUGUCUUUUUUCUUCUUCUUUUCUUCUUAAUUUGGAACAAAAAUUUAUUGAUCUUCUUGUUUGUGUAAAUAAACCUAAAAUGAAGUUGAAUUGCUUGGAUUCAUUAUCGCUUUGGAUUGAGGGAGAUUCUUCUAGCGCGCUUCUUGCGUUAAAAAAAUCAGAAUUGGUUCCUUGUAUUUUGCGUAAUAGAUGGCAUAAUUAUUUCACUUUGGAUCUUCACGUUCUUUCUUCUCAUAUUUUUGGUGGGAUGCUAUGCCUGAUUUUACUAGGGAAGAUAUCUUUAGGGACAAAUAUGGCAUGCCAUAUUAUCAUUUUCCUUAAUUUUGCAUGAUUUUCAUCUUUUCUUUCUCCGUUGUUUUUUAGAGGGUUUUGGUUUGGUCCCCUCCUCUCUUGUACAUAUUUUCCCUUUUUUUCUAAUAAAUUUAUAUGAGUGAGUGGCAGAGGAUGGGGGUUUCUUGGGGGUACCGACCUAGUCGGGAUGUGUAAGCUUCUCUUUGGUGUCUUCCACACUCUUAGAUCAAAACAUAAAAUGACAACAAAAAAUAAACGAAAUAAUUUGUCAACUAUAAACAACAAAGCAACAACAUAAUUAAAAAUAUAAUCAAAAUCUCAUACCAAUACUAUGAUAAUAGCACGACUUUGCUCUUUAGAUGAGAACUGACACAUACUAAAAUACUAAAAAUAUUUUUUCUUUCUAAAAUGAAAAUAAAAGAAUCAAACUAAGUCCUCUAUAAUUUCUUAUGUACAAACUUUGGAAAGAUAUGAUCCCGUCACAUGGUGUUUACAAAAACAAAGUAUAGUUUGCGGGCUAUGUCUUCAUCCUCCUACAUUGAAGUUUCUUUUAUUUUUCUUGAUGAUACAUGCAUGGUUAUUUACCUCACAAUUGUGGUAUUGUCUCAUGAAGCAACUUUGGUGACAUCUUUAUUCGAUCUGUUGUAUUUCAUGUGGCUUUUAACAAGCUGCCCGGCUGCAAUUGCAGACAUGAGUGAGAGCUCUCCUGCAAGGACUGAACCAGCUACUAUAGUUGCCAGUUGCCUGGAAUUUGCUCCUGGAGUCUCUUUACUAGCUCCUUUAACACCAAGUAAAUUUAGACAAGCUGAUUGCGACGCAAGUUGUGUGCCCCCUCCUACUGUGCCCACCUCAAUGGAAGGCAUAGUGACUGAGAUAUGAAGGUCCUUUCCGUCAUUCACGGCUUCCAUCAUGGUCAUACAGUGAGAACUUUCAACAUUCUGAGCAGGAUCUUGUCCUGUAGCCAAGUAAAUUGCAGAAACAAUAUUACUAGCAUGUGCAUUAAAGCCGCCAAGAGCACCAGCCAUGGCUGAACCGGUAAGGUUUUUUAGCAUGUUAAGCUCAACCAAAGACUCCACACUAGUCUUCAGCACUUUCUUCACCACAUCUUCCUUAAUUACAGCCUCACACACCACUGAUUUCCCUCUCCCUUCAAUCCAGUUCACUGCCGCAGCUUUCUUGUCCGAACAAAAAUUUCCAGAUAUACCAAUAACAUCCAUAUCGGGAAAAUCGGUUUGAAGAAAAUCAAGUACGUUUUGUACACCUUUCGAUACCAUGUUCAUCCCCAUUGCAUCACCCGUUGAACAAGUGAACCUAGUGUAUAAAUUCUUUCCAGCCAUAGUAGCUUUAAUACUCUGUAGUCUUGCAAAUCUACUUGACCUAAAUAAAUAUCGCAGAGAAAAUCAAUCACUUAUCCAAAUGAGUAAUUUCAACAAAAUUUAUAGUGAAACAGAAGAAAGUUCAAAAUUGAAAAUUACUUACUUGUUGAAAGUGUGAGAGAGGGAAUCAAAAUUUUGAGGAUCUUCUAAAAAGAAUUUCAACUGAGAAGCUCUUUUGGCGGAGUUGAAUCUUACGACUGGGGCUCGGGUCAUUCCGUCACGGAGGACAACGGCGGAAGCACCACCGGAAACAUAAAUAGCUUUACAGCCUCUAUUGGUGCUUGCAACCAAACAACCUUCGGUUGUUGCCAUGGGCACCGUGUACUCAUUCCCGUCGAGCAACAAAGGACCGGCAACACCCACCGGAAUCUGAACAAACCCUAUGGGCAUCUCGCAACACUGUCCUAAUAUAGAAUCGUAAUCAAAACCUUCCAUCGGUAAACCUUCAAGUGACCUUCCGGUAACUCUCUCCACGGCUUGGUUCCUAAUAUUUGCUGCACGUCGGCAAUCUCCAAGCUUGGAUUCAAGCGAGUAAGAUGGAAUUGAUCCUGACACCACUGCACUGACAACCUCCUCGUCUUCCAUGGACAUAACUUUUUGGUCGGAGAUUUUGGGUGGAGGUAACGUAGGUAGCUUCUUCGGCAAGACUCCUUGAGUGGUUUUUGCAGCAAUGUCUUCUUCUUCUUCAUCGUAAUGAAGGAUGAAGGCAAUGCCGAAGAAAGUGAUAAGGUAGACAAAGGAAGCGAUGAGGGAAACAAGAGCGAGAAUCUCAGAGAUUGUGAGGACGUGGAGAGGUGUAGAGGUUCGGAUCUUUUCACGCCACCUGUUGAGAAGAAAGUAGGCGACGGAGAAGAAGAGACCAAAGAAAACAACAUUUGUUAAGUACAGUAUUGACUGUGAAUCCUCCUGCUUCUUUUGGUUCUUCUUCUCAUUUUUGCUUAUUUUCUGCUGAACGCCCAUUUCUCUGAUUUGAAAAAGAAAAGAAAGAAAGGAGUUCAGUUCAGUUUAGGGGAUGAUUGAUGAUGGGUAAUACUAAUUGCUUGAAAAUGAUUUUCAAUGUUAUUAUUAUUUAUAGACAAAUUAAGAGUACUCAGAGAGUGAGUGAGGAAUUAGGUAUAUGCAAUAAUGUUAUUUUUUUUGUUAACAGAAGUUUCGUAGCUAGAUCGUAAUGAACUCGUGCACAACCAGAAGGAAUAUUGUAAUGUGUAGAUAAUAAACUAGCUAGAAGCCUUGUGUUGACUAAACUAAAUUAUUUCCCUGCAGAAACUAAUUAAACUAUACUAUAUAUUUUUGUUGUUCACUGAAACUAAUUAGUUUAAUAUAUCACUUGCGCUGCAAAAAAAAAAACGUGUUUAUGAUAUAAAAUUAAGACAAUUAAAAAAGAGAUAGAGAAUAUGAAAGUCUAUUAAUGUAUCAUUCUCUUUCUUUUAACGUGUGUUUUUACACCAAUUAAUAUAUGAGUUCAAUUUAUAGUAUCCAAUUAUAGGUCUUAACUUUGUAGGAUGCUCUCAAAUAGGUCUAUGAGUUUAUGAAUAUUUUAAAUAGGUCUCUGACUUAAUCGAAAUUUAUUCUUAUUGACAAGUAUAGGGAUCAAACUGAUAGUAAGUUGUUUAAAAUAUAAGGACUUAGUUGAUAGUUUAAUAGAGCCGGUGAGCUUUCUAUAAUAUUCAUAAUCUCAUAGGCUUAUUUAAUAGUGACGUAAUACAAACUAAAAGACUAAUUUGAUUGUGUAAGCAAACAUGUGUUGAUAUUGUGUUUUUCUUUCCAAUUUGUACAACUCAUUAUAUCCAUUUUAAAAAGUCAACAAUAAUUCAAUCGAAUUAUAACAUAAUUAGACUUGUGCUGAAGUUGUUUGGAAUAAGGUUAAGUUCACAGCAAAAGUAGGUUAAUAAUUCAAUCACGAGUAUGAUCAAAUGAAAUGAACUGAUUCUGAAUGCACGAACAAUGAUCAAAAUGGUGCGGAUACAAAGGUAGGACUUGAGGUUUAAAACUGCUUUACCCAGUACGAAUCAAAACAACUGCUGAUAAAAUGCCAAAACAAAAAAACGAGGAUACAUAAAAACAUCGGAAUCUAAGUUCCUUCUCUAGCUAUCUACGCUGUCGGACUUCAAGUGAGCCGGACGCUGAAUCCCAACCAUGGUUCUCUCUAGGCUCUAAAGCAUAUCUUCUAUGUACUACUCACCCAUAUAAGUGAGUUAUACACAAUGUUUACUUCACAUUUUUGGAAGGAAAGAUAAAAAUUGUUGUAUUACUACUUUCAUAUUUAAUAACAUAUAUACCAGCCCUACACCCCUGCCAUAUAUUACAUUACUGCUUUUUCAUGGCACCAUGUAAUUCGAGCAUACAAAAUUGAAACUUAAGAGUAAGAAAGUGUCCAUACCUCAAAUUUUACAGUGCCACUUGAAGUUGAAACCUGACGAACUAUGUUCACCAGUCUGUUCACAUAUACAUUUUCUACAUGAUUAUGCAUAAAUCAGUCACUAGAAAUCUAUGGGAAUGCCUAAUAACUUUUAAUCUCAUGACAGAAAUUAAACUUUCAAGUAUGCAGAAUUCACCAUACAAAAGAGACUAUCACGUCUUCCACACAAAAAGCUCACCGCAAAACUGAAUUCACCAGUGCAGAAAGCUCUUUAACAUAAUCCACCAAUUUACAAAGCAUGACAGUAACCUAAUCAAAGACACUACCAAAAUGAAACAAGAAUAACAGAGAUACAAGUUACAAUGAUAGAUACAAUGAACGCAAAAAGUGUAACUAAGAAAAGUAGGUAAACGACUAGUAUCACGUGAGAAUCACUUUGGUUAUGAAAAAUUUCUACACUUCAAUUUCUACAUCGAGAUAAUUGUAUCAUUUCAAAUUUAAAUAGAACGUUAAUUAUUAUUUUGAAAAUAACUCUUUUUGAUAUUUAUUGCAGAGAGAAAUAAAUAAAACAAGAUAAUAAAUUGUCAAGAGUGUUAAAGAAAAAGAGAGACAUAACUCUACAAUAGUAAAACUUAUUCAUCUUCUUGCAUGCAUAAAUAAUCGUAAAAUGACAAAUAAAACUAACAAAGUAAUUAACAAAUACAAGCAAUGAAUAUUGAUCAUGAUGGUAAGUACAAGAUUAUUUAUCUCGCACUUGUGGUAUCUACAUAUAACCUAUGUACAACUCAUGAAGCAACUUUGGUGACAUCUUUAUUUGAUCUGUUGUAUUUCAUGUGGCUUUUAACAAGUUGCCCGGCUGCAAUUGCAGACAUGAGUGAGAGCUCUCCUGCAAGGACUGAACCAGCUACUAUAGUUGCCAGUUGCCUGGAAUUUGCUCCUGGAGUCUCUUUACUAGCUCCUUUAACACCAAGUAAAUUUAGACAAGCUGAUUGCGACGCAAGUUGUGUGCCCCCUCCUACUGUACCCACCUCAAUGGAAGGCAUAGUGACUGAGAUAUGAAGGUCCUUUCCGUCAUUCACGGCUUCCAUCAUGGUCAUACAGUGAGAACUUUCAACAUUCUGAGCAGGAUCUUGUCCUGUAGCCAAGUAAAUUGCAGAAACAAUAUUACUAGCAUGUGCGUUAAAGCCGCCAAGUGCACCAGCCAUGGCUGAACCGGUAAGGUUUUUUAGCAUGUUAAGCUCAACCAAAGACUCCACACUAGUCUUCAGCACUUUCUUCACCACCUCUUCCUUAAUUACAGCCUCACACACCACUGAUUUCCCUCUCCCUUCAAUCCAAUUCACUGCCGCAGCUUUCUUGUCCGAACAAAAAUUUCCAGAUAUACCAAUAACAUCCAUAUCGGGAAAAUCGGUUUGAAGAAAAUCAAGUACGUUUUGUACACCUUUCGAUACCAUGUUCAUCCCCAUUGCAUCACCCGUUGAACAAGUGAAUCUAGUGUAUAAAUUCUUUCCUGCCAUAGUAGCUUUAAUACUCUGUAAUCUUGCAAAUCUACUUGACCUAAAUAAAUAUUGCAGAGAAAAUCAAUCAGUUAUCCAAAUAAGUAGUAAUUUCAACAAAUAAAAUUUAAAGUGAAACCGAAGAAAGUUCAAAAUUGAAAAUUACUUGUUGAAAGUGUGAGAGAGGGAAUCAAAAUUUUGAGGAUCUUCUAAAAAGAAUUUCAACUGAGAAGCUCUUUUGGCGGAGUUGAAUCUUACAACGGGGGCUCUGGUCAUUCCGUCGCGGAGCACAACAGCGGAAGCACCUCCGGAAACAUAAAUAGCUUUACAGCCUCUGUUGGUGCUUGCAACCAAACAACCUUCGGUUGUUGCCAUGGGCACCGUGUAUUCAUUCCCGUCGAGCAACAAAGGACCGGCAACACCCACCGGAAUUUGAACAAACCCUAUCGGCAUCUCGCAACACUGUCCUAAUAUAGAAUCGUAGUCAAAACCUUUCAUCGGUAAACCUUCAAGUGACCUUCCGGUAACCCUCUCCACUGCUUGGUUCCUAAUCUUUGCUGCACGACGGCAAUCUCCGAGCUUCGACUCAAGGGAGUAAGAAGGAAUUGAUCCCGAUACCACUGCACCGACAACCUCUUCGUCUUCCAUGGACAUAACUUUUUGGUCAGAUAUCUUCGGUGGUGUUAACAUAGGUAGCUUCUUCGGCACAACUCCUCCGGUGGGUUUUGCAGAAUUGUCGACUACUUCGUCUUCAUCAUCAUCGUAAUGAAUGAUGAAGGCAGUGCCGAAGAAAGCAAUAAGGUAGACGAAGGAAGCGAUGAGGGAAACUACAGCAACAAUCUCAGAGACUGUGAGGAUGUGGAGAGGUGUAGAGGUUCGGAUCUUUUCACGCCACCUGUUAAGAAGAAAGUACGCGGCGGAGAAGAAGAGACCAAAGAAAACAGCGUUUGUUAAAUACAGUGAAGAAGAAGGUUGUUGUGACUGUGAAUCCUGCUGCUGCCUUUGGUUCUUCUUCUCAUUUUUGCUUAUUUUCUGCUGAACGUCCAUCUCUCUCUCUCUCUUUCUCUUGGUUAUUA